CAAGUCGAACGAGAACUCUUUGAGCUUGCUCGAAGAAAGUAAAGUGGCGCCCGGGUGAGUAACGCGUGAGUAAUCUGUCUUCAAAUUCGGGAUAACCCGCCGAAAGGGGUGCUAAUACCGGAUAACAUCAUGUACGCUGAGGUGUAUGUGAUCAAAGGUAGCCUCUACAAGUAAGCGACUGUUUGGAGAUGAGCCUGCGUACCAUUAGUUAGGUGGCGGGGUAACAGCCCACCAAGGCGACGAUGGUUAGCUGGUCUGAGAGGAUGAUCAGCCACACUGGAACUGACACACGGUCCAGACUCCUACGGGAGGCAGCAGUGAGGAAUUUUGCGCAAUGGGCGGAAGCCUGACGCACCAACGCCGCGUGAGUGAAGAAGGCCUUCGGGUCGUAAAGCCUUGUCAAAUGGGAAGAACCUGUGCAUGGAAAACAAGUGUGCACACUGACGGUACCUUUGAAGGAAGCACCGGGCUAACUCCGUGCCAGCGGCCGCGGUAAUACGGGGGGGUGCGAGCGUUAUUCGGAAUUAUUGGGCGUAAAGAGCACGUAGGCCGGAAGUGCAAAGUCAGGUGUGAAAACCCGGGGCUUAACCCUCGGAAGCGCAUUUGAAACUGUGCUGCUUGAGUAUGGGAGAGGGAAGUGGAUUUCCUGGGUAGCGGUGAAAAUGCGUAGAUAUCAGGAGGAACACCGGUGGCGAAGGCGACUUCCUGGAACAAAUACUGACGCUGAGGUGCGAAGGCGUGGGUAGCAAACAGGAUUAGAUACCCCGGGUAGUCCACGCAGUAAACGGUGAUCACUAGGUGUAGCGGGUAUUGACCCCUGCUGUGCCGCAGUUAACGCAUUAAGUGAUCCGCCUGGGGAGUACGGCCGCAAGGUUAAAACUCAAAGGAAUUGACGGGGGCCCGCACAAGCGGUGGAGCAUGUGGUUUAAUUCGACGCAACGCGAAGAACCUUACCUGGAUUUGACAUCUGCGGGAGUGCUAUGAAAGUAGGAUGUGCCCUUCGGGGAGCCGCAAGACAGGUGCUGCAUGGCUGUCGUCAGCUCGUGUCGUGAGAUGUUGGGUUAAGUCCCGCAACGAGCGCAACCCUUGUCUUUAGUUACCAGCAUUUCGGAUGGGGACUCUAAAGAAACCGCCCCGGUUAACGGGGAGGAAGGUGGGGAUGACGUCAAGUCCUCAUGGCCUUUAUGUCCAGGGCUACACACGUGCUACAAUGGGUUGUACAAAGGGUAGCGAGCCUGUGAAGGAGAGCCAAUCCCAUAAAGCAGCCCCAAGUUCGGAUUGGAGUCUGCAACUCGACUCCAUGAAGCUGGAAUCGCUAGUAAUCGCGGAUCAGCAUGCCGCGGUGAAUACGUUCCCGGGCCUUGUACACACCGCCCGUCACACCAUGAGAGUUGGUUGUACCCGACGUCACCGGGCUAACCUUU
rnacentral:rRNA from 1 species